GUGGGGAAUCUUAGACAAUGGGGGAAACCCUGAUCUAGCCAUGCCGCGUGAUCGAUGAAGGCCUUAGGGUUGUAAAGAUCUUUCAGGUGGGAAGAUAAUGACUGUACCACCAGAAGAAGCCCCGGCUAACUCCGUGCCAGCAGCCGCGGUAAUACGGAGGGGGCUAGCGUUGUUCGGAAUUACUGGGCGUAAAGCGCACGUAGGCGGAUCGGAAAGUUGGGGGUGAAAUCCCGGGGCUCAACCCCGGAACUGCCUUCAAAACUCCCAGUCUUGAGUUCGAGAGAGGUGAGUGGAAUUCCGAGUGUAGAGGUGAAAUUCGUAGAUAUUCGGAGGAACACCAGUGGCGAAGGCGGCUCACUGGCUCGAUACUGACGCUGAGGUGCGAAAGCGUGGGGAGCAAACAGGAUUAGAAACCCUUGUAGUCC
rnacentral:rRNA from 1 species